AGCUUUGCGCAGUGGCAAUAUCGUACCCAGUGAGGUUCAACCGAGGUGCGAUUAUUGCUAGUUAAAAGCCUUCACUCUAUAUUGGUUUUAUAUUAUUUCUAUGAGAGUCGAUAUCAUGUAUAAUAAAAAUACAGAUUA